AAAGUACAAGGUUUCUCGACCCAAGUUGAGAGAGAACCAAUGGACCAUGCAUCUUUAACUAGCUUACUCCAACUAUUAUCUAACUCCUGAAUGACACAAUCAAAAGGAUCGCCUUAACACCUCUUCAUGCUACAAGGAGCUAAGCUGGAACUUGAAACAUGAUGGCUAGUGUUGAGCGAGAAACCCAUGACGAACCAAAUGUCCGCAGUCUAAUAGUAGCAAACACAAUGAAACUUUGUAUGAUGCUUCCAGAUCAUCAGUGAAAUUGCUUGAAACUCAGCUCACACCUACACACAUGCACAAUCAUUAUGCAUGUCCAAAUUAUUUACACUCAUGUCACCUACACAAAUGCACAAUCAUUAUGCAUGUCCAAACUAUUUACACUCAAGCCGACCAAAUCAACAAUAGUGACAUCCUAUACUAUUUGAAACAUACCAUUCUUAUUACUAUCAACAUCAACUGUGGUACCCUUGCUAACCAGCCCCGUAAAACCCUCAAUCCGGCAACACUAAUCAAUGCAAAAAAUAGGCAUCGUUACCCAUAAUUAAAUACAAAGAAAAAUACUGAAAUUUUAAAACAUGUAUAAUCUAAUAGCAUCAGUAAGAACGGCUACUGCAUUACAUACCAUCUCCAUAGCACAUUAUGCUGUCAUGACGCUCCAAUUAAGCCUAAAACACACAAAAUUUUACUUCUUAGAUCCAGACUGAUAAGAUAUCAGCUUUAAUAGAUGUUUUGGAUAAUAUAAUUAUGAGAAAUGAGACUGAGGCACGUCGAGUAUCCCAAUACAUAGUAGAUAGUGAUGUGAUUUUAAUGAAAAAUAAUAUAGCAAAUACUCAAUUUUGACCAUGGAUGAAUUGUAUAAUACAUGAAUAGAUGAUUAAGGGGUUGGGGCAUGACAAGUAUAUUGAUACUUAGUAGAGUGUUUCUUGGUUAAUGAAUUGUAGUAAAAAUUAUAUGAAAUAAAAAAUUUGAAAUAAUCGAAUUUGUUCAAGGAACAAACAUCAAAUCUAAAAAUGUGAGUUACAUAUCAUACCUAAAUAACUUUUCACUAGAAGAAGAGAUAAAACUUAUAUCGCAUACCUAAUUCCGCAAUGUGAUUGUCAUUCGUUUCUUCUUCCAUUCAAAAGAGCAAAUAAAUUAUUUAGCCCCAAGUACGAAGCACACCAGCGACAAUGUUUGAAUGGAGAAAGCGUUCUUUGAUGAAUAUGAAUUAGGAGAUGGGUAUUUAUAUAAAAUCAAAUUCUAUUUUAAGAUUUCAAUCCUUGUUAAAUAUUGUAAUAAGCACUAAAUUCGUGAAUAAAUUUUAUAUUUGAAAUUUUCUAAACAUUGAUGUGAGCGUUUCAAAUUUAUUAUUUAUGAAAUUACUGAAAUAUUCUUAAUGAUCAAAGUACAAGGUUUCUCAAACCAAAUUAAGAGAGAACGAUAUAUAUUGUUUUUAAUUAAUUAAGAUAACACAACCUAAAUUAGAAAAAUAAAUAAAUGUGUUCACAAAUUGUUGCAACUAGAUCAAAUCGGAAACCUUUUAAUCGUCAAUAAACUAUUUCUCUUGGUGUGUUUUCCUUUACGUGUUUGGGACGUCAAGCUUGUGAGUGUUUGGUUGCGUGUUGCUUGCUCUGAAUUCUCUAUAUAGUUUGCCUUCCAAGGUUAUAUUUUGAAGCAAUAAUUUUCUUUAACUAUAUAGUUUGCCUUCCUAGGUCAUAUUUUGAAGCAGUAGUUUUCUUUAAUAUACAUACAACCAUUUAGAUAAAAAAAUAAACGUCAAUAUAUUAUUUUACCUAAUGAGCUACAUUACUUAGAUAGAAUCAUAUAUCUCAUUUUAUAUCAUACCACUGUUCUUUAUAUUUUUUAAAGGUGUACUCUAUGCACGAUACAUAAAGUUUCACACAUAAAAUAAUAAUAAAAAUAAAAGGAGAAAAUUGAAAAACUUUAAAAAUAAUAUAAAAGUUAUUUCUCACUCUAUACUGUCACACCUUUCAGUGGAUUACUCUCUCGCCGCGCAUGUUUUUGUGAAAUUUAUGGCACAACCAUCCUCGCUGGUAACUUCCUCCAACGACUUCCCCACCACUUUCGUAAACAUAAAAGUUGAAAUAAAACCCAAAAUACAUUUGUAAAAGCCAAAAACCAUCAAGAUGUACUUAAUCCUACUCACCUUCUUAUCCAAUGUGUAAGACUACAAAACAAAACCAGCCACAAUCAACCUGACUUUUCUUGCAACGGCACUCAAUGCAUGACACGUUGACCUCAGUCGGGCCAGGAAAAGCUCCCCGGGCCAGAUGAAAGUUGUCGUAUUGGGCCCAAAGUUCCCAAAGACGAACCAAAGUUCAGAUAACACGGUGAACAAUCUCUUGGUAAUAUGCCACAAAUACUCGUACUUAAUUCCCAUAACCAACAAAAACGUCAAUAUCAUGAAAAAUCCCAUUAACUGAAUCACGUAUUAACCCAACUUCUCGAUGAACGUGAUUUUGAACUAACAUCCGGGGAAAGUAUCUAAUAAUGCAACGACGAACAUGGCGCAUUAGGAGAUCAACAGAGGAAACGUGACAAGAAAAUUAUGGGAUCUUUUGAACAACUCAAAAGAGGUUCUCAACAUUGUUUAGCCACAUAAGGAGUUUAGUCGUACAAUUUCUGCUAAAUUUAGUUAUUCAAUAAAUUAUUAGUAGCAAAAUGAAACUUUUAAAAGACUUGUGGAUUUGGAAUACCUUCAAAGUCCAGGAGAAGAAGACAACUUGUCUGGCAACUGACAAUGGUUUAUUGGGAGUCCUACCAAUAACAGACCAAUGGAAAAUUUUAAUGUCUAGUCAGGGAAUGAAAAACAACCGUUGCUAAGAAAGAUUGAUAGAGUGAAGAACUCAAAUCUAUAAACUUAAAUGGUAUAUGUAACAUAGUGGAACAAGUAUGAAGUGAAUGAAGAAAAUUAGGAUUUUAAUGGGAGGAAUGCAGGAAAGAAUAGUGUUUGCUGUUAUAUCUCUGUUGUUACAUUCCCUUAUUUUUCAUCCACAUCACCGUGCUUCUACACUAACAACAGCUCAACAAUGAGUUCGAUUGUUCAGGAUCCACCGAAUUUGGGGUUCGGAUCGAGUGGACAAUGGUGAAUCAAGCAAUAGCAUGUAGUUUUUUGUCGUUGCCAUUUAUCAACAUGUGAAGAGACCACCAUGCAAAAUUGACUCUGAUUUUUUGUGGGGUUUUUUUUUUCAGCUCUACUAUAAUAAGAUGUACUUAAAGAACACAACACAAAUCUACGAAUUGGGGUUGUUUAUUACAAAACUCAGAAUUCGGUACGGGGAACGAUUUUCUACUUCAUUUCUUCUUUUUUGAUCAUUUGAUUCAUUAAGAAUGUUAUUCACUCCAUUUAUCAGUUUGCGAAACGUGUACAAUUCUUAAAAACUGAGUACAUGUCAAAAACCUAAUACAAAACAUUGUCACGUAAAGAUUUCAAAAACAUAAUUCCAACAAAGAUGGUCUAGUGGGCGAAUUUUGUUUUUGGAAUCUUAACUCUAGUGAGAGGAAAAAACCUGCUUGAAAAAUUUAGCUCGACAUAAAUGGUUUGGCCAAUGGAAUUUCUAUUUGAUCAUAAAAAAGUUUGCAUUUGCUCCUUUUAAGACAAGGGUAUUGAGUGGAAAUUUUAAUUGAAAAGAUAUGGAUAUUAUAUUCUUGUUAGAGAUGGAUUUAUAUUUUCAUAUGAAAAAAAUAAAUUUUCGGGCGAAGAGAUCAAAAUAAACAUGAAACUCUUAACUUUCUUAUUUAGAAAUAAAAUUCUAAAUUUGUAUGAAAUUUUUAGAGACAGAAUUAAACAUAGAUUAACUUAUGAUUGUAAGUGACUACUAAAGUACAAGGUUUCUCGACCCAAGUUGAGAGAGAACCAAUGGACCAUGCAUCUUUAAUUAGCUUACAACAACUAUUAUCUAACUCCGGAAUGACACAAUCAAAAGGAUCGCCUUAACACCUCUUCAAAUGAAAAAUAAUAUAGCAAGUACUCAAUUUUGACCAUGGAUGAAUUGUAUAAUACAUGAAUAGAUGAUUAAGGGGUUGGGGCAUGACAAGUAUAUUGAUACUUAGUAGAGUGUUUCUUGGUUAAUGAAUUGUAGUAAAAAUUAUAUGAAAUUGCAUGAAUUGGAUAAUCAUAGACACCCAACUGGUCAUACACAUUGUAAUGAACAAAAUCAAAUAAUUAUAAAAAUUUACUUAUGAUGAAAGUAAACCAAUCACUAUACCUCAUAAAUUUGAAGUCAAGUUGUAAAUCAAUGAAUAAUUUUAUCUUUCCGAAGCCUUCCAUUCCAACUCCUAUAUGUUGGAUUUGAAAUAAUCGAAUUUGUUCAAGGAACAAACAUCAAAUCUAAAAAUGUGAGUUACAUAUCAUACCUAAAUAACUUUUCACUAGAAGAAGAGAUAAAACUUAUAUCGCAUACCUAAUUCCGCAAUGUGAUUGUCAUUCGUUUCUUCUUCCAUUCAAAAGAGCAAAUAAAUUAUUUAGCCCCAAGUACGAAGCACACCAGCGAAAAUGUUUGAAUGGAGAAAGCGUUAUUUGAUGAAUAUGAAUUAGGAGAUGGGUAUUUAUAUAAAAUUAAAUUCUAUUUUAAGAUUUCAAUCCUUCUUAAAUAUUGAUAAGCACUAAAUUCGUGAAUAAAUUUUCGAUUUGAAAUUUUCUAAACAUUGAUGUGAGCGUUUCAAAUUUAUUAUUUAUGAAAUUACUGAAAUAUUCUUAAUGAUCAAAGUACAAGGUUUCUCAAACCAAAUUAAGAGAGAACGAUAUAUAUUGUUUUUAAUUAAUUAAGAUAACACAACCUAAAUUAGAAAAAUAAAUAAAUGUGUUCACAAAUUGUUGCAACUAGAUCAAAUCGGAAACCUUUGAAUCGUCAAUAAACUAUUUCUCUUGGUGUGUUUUCCUUUACUUGUUUGGGACGGCAAGCUUGUGAGUGAUUGGUUGCAUGUUGCUUGCUAUGAAUUCUCUAUAUAGUUUGCCUUCCUAGGUCACAUUUUGAAGCAAUAGUUUUCUUUAAUAGACAUACAACCAUUUAGAUAAAAAAAUAAACGUCAAUAUAUUAUUUUACCUAAUGAGCUACAUUACUUAGAUAGAAUCAUAUAUCUCAUUUUAUAUCAUACCAUUGUUCUUUAUAUUUUUUAAAGGUGUACUCUAUGCACGGUAAAAAAAAGUGUCACACAUAAAAUAAUAAUAAAAAUAAAAGAAGCAAUUGAUAAAUUUUAAAAAUAAUAUAAAAGUUAUUUCUCACUCUAUACUGUCACACCUUCCAGCGGAUUACUCUCUCGCCGCGCAUAUUUUUUUGGAAAUUUAUGGCACAGCCAUCCUCGCUGGAAAUUUCCGCCAACGACUUCCCCACCACUUCCGACAACAUAAAAGUUGAAAUAAAACCCACAAUACAUUUGUAUAAGCGAAAACCAUCAAGAUGUACUUAAUCCUGCUUACCUUCUUAUCCAAUGUGUAAGACUGCAAAACAAAAGCAGCCACAAUCAACCUGACUUUCCUCGCAACUGCACUCAAUCCAUGACACGUGGACCUCAGUCGGGCUAGGAAAAGCUCCGCGGGCCAGAUGAAAGUAGUCGAAUUGGGCCAAAAGUUCCCAAAGACGAACCAAAGUUCAGAUUACACAGUGAACAACGCAAUCAAUGCAUGCCACAUGGACCUCAGUCGGGCCAGGAAAAGCUCCGCGGGCCAGAUGAAUGUAGUCGAAUUGGGCCCAAAGUUCCUGAAGACGAACCAAAGUUCAGAUAACACAGUGAACAAUCUCUUGCUAUCAUGCCACAAAUACUCGUACUUAAUCCCCAUAAUCAACAAAAUGUCAAUAUCAUGAAAAAUCCCAUUAACUGAAUCACGUAUUAACCCAACUUCUCGAUGAACGCGAUUUUGAACUAACAUCCGGGGAAAGUAUCUAAUAAUGCAACGACGAACAUGGCGCAUUAGGAGAUCAACAGAGGAAACAUGCGUCAAUAUCAUGAAAAAUCCCAUUAACUGAAUCAUGUAUUAACCCAACUUCUCGAUGAAUGCGAUUUUAAACUAACAUCCGGGGAAAGUCUCUAAUAAUGCAACGAUGAACAUGCACAUUGGGAGAUCAACAGAGGAAACAUGACAAGAAAAUUAUGGGAUCUUUUGAACGACUCAAAAGAGGUUUUUGUUUAGCCACAUAAGGAGUUUGGUCGUACAAUUUCUGCUAAAUUUAGUUAUUCAAUAAAUUAUUAGUAGAAAAAUGAAACUUGUUAAAAGACUUGUGGAUUUGGAAUACCUUCGAACUCCAGGUGCAGAAGACAAUUUGUCUGGUAACUGAUAAUGGUUUAUUAGGAGUCCUACCAAUAACAGACCAAUGGAAAAUUUAAAUGUCUAGUCAGGGAAUGAAAAAUAACCGUUGCUAAGAAAGAUUAAGAGAGUGAAGAACUCAACUCUAUAAACUUAUAUGGUAUACGUAACAUAGUGAAAAAAGUAUGAAGCAAAUGAAGAAAAUUAGGAUUUUAAUGGGAGGAAUGCAGGAAAGAAUAGUGUUUGCUGUUAUAUCUCUGUUGUUACAUUCCCUUAUUUUUCAUCCACAUCACCGUGCUUCUACGCUAACAACAGCUCAACAAUGAGUUCGAUUGUUGAGGAUCCACCGAAUUUUGGGGCCUCAACAAUGAGUUCGAUUAUUGAGGAUCCAUCAAAUUUUGGGGUACGGAUCGAGUGGACAAUGGUGAAUCAAGCAAUAGCAUGUGGUUUUUUGUUGUUGCCAUUUAUCAACAUGUGAAGAGACAACCAUGCAAAAUUGACUCUGAUUUUUUGUGGGGUUUUUUACCAGUUCUACUAUAGUAAAAUGUACUUACAGAUCACAACACAAAUCUACGAAUUGGGGUUGUCUAUUACAAAAACCUAAUACAACACAGUGUAACGAGAGAUUUCAAAAACAUAAUUCCAACAAAGAUGGUCUAGUAGGCGAAUUUUGUUUUUCGAAUCCUAACUCUAAUGAGUGGAAAAAACUUGCUUGAAAAAUUCAGCUUGACAUAAAUGGUUUGGCCAAUGGAGUUUCUAUUUGAUCUUUAAAAAGUUUGAAUUUGCUCCUUUUAAGACGAGGGUAUUGAGUGGAAAUUUUAAUUGAAAAGAUACGGAUAUUAGAUUCUAGUUAGAGAUGGAUUUAUAUUUUCAUAUGAAAAAAAUAAAUUUUCGGGCGAAGAGAUCAAAAUAAACAUGAAACUCUUAACUUUCUUAUUUAGAAAUAAAAUUCUAAAUUUGUAUGAAAUUUUUAGAGACAGAAUUAAACAUAGAUUAACUUAUGAUUGUAAGUGACUACUAAAGUACAAGGUUUCUCGACCCAAUUUGAGAGAGAACCAAUGGACCAUGCGUCUUUAAUUAGCUUACAACAACUAUUAUCUAACUCCUGAAUGACACAAUCAAAAGGAUCGCCUUAACACCUCUUCAUGCUACCAGGAGCUAUGCUGGAACUUGAAACAUCAUGGCUAGUGUUAAGCGCGAAACCCAUGACGAACCAAAUGUCCUCAGUCUAAUAGUAGCAAAAACAAUGAAACUUUGUAUGAUGCUUCCAGAUCAUCAGUGAAAUUGCUUGAAAGUCAGCUCACACCUACACACAUGCACAAUCAUUAUGCAUGUCUAAAUUAUUUACACUCAAGCUAACCAAAUCAACAAUAUUGAAAUCCUAUACUAUUUGAAACAUACCAUUCUUAUUAUUAUCAACAUCAACUGUGGUACCCUUGCUAACCAGUCCCGUAAAAGCCUCAAUCCGGCAACUCUAAUCAAUGCAAAAAAUAGGUUUCCUUACCCAUAAUUAAAUACAAAGAAAAAUACUAAAAUUUUAAAACAUGUAUAAUCUAAUAGCAUCAGUAAGAACGGCUACUGCAUUACAUACCAUCUCCAUAGCACAUUAUGCUGUCAUGACGCUCUGGUUAAGCCUAAGACACACAAAAUUUUAGUUCUUAGAUCCAGACUGAUAAGAUAUCAGCUUUAAUAGAUGUUUUGGAUAAUACAAUUAUGAGAAAUGAGACUGAGGGCACGUCGAGUAUCCCAAUACAUAGUAGAUAGUGAUGUGAUUUUAAUGAAAAAUAAUAUAGCAAGUACUCAAUUUUGACCAUGGAUGAAUUGUAUAAUACAUGAAUAGAUGAUUAAGGGGUUGGGGCAUGACAAGUAUAUUGAUACUUAGUAGAGUGUUUCUUGGUUAAUGAAUUGUAGUAAAAAUUAUAUGAAAUUGCAUGAAUUGGAUAAUCAUAGACACCCAACUGGUCAUACACAUUGUAAUGAACAAAAUCAAAUAAUUAUAAAAAUUUACUUAUGAUGAAAGUAAACCAAUCACUAUACCUCAUAAAUUUGAAGUCAAGUUGUAAAUCAAUGAAUAAUUUUAUCUUUCCGAAGCCUUCCAUUCCAUCUCCUAUAUGUUGGAUUUGAAAUAAUCCAAUUUGUUCAAGGAACAAACAUCAAAUCUAAAAAUGUGAGUUACAUAUCAUACCUAAAUAACUUUUCACUAGAAGAAGAGAUAAAACUUAUAUCGCAUACCUAAUUCCGCAAUGUGAUUGUCAUUCGUUUCUUCUUCCAUUCAAAAGAGCAAAUAAAUUAUUUAGCCCCAAGUACGAAGCACACCAGCGACAAUGUUUGAAUGGAGAAAGCGUUCUUUGAUGAAUAUGAAUUAGGAGAUGGGUAUUUAUAUAAAAUUAAAUUCUAUUUUAAGAUUUCAAUCCUUGUUAAAUAUUGUAAUAAGCACUAAAUUCGUGAAUAAAUUUUAUAUUUGAAAUUUUCUAAACAUUGAUGUGAGCGUUUCAAAUUUAUUAUUUAUGAAAUUGCUGAAAUAUUGUUAAUGAUCAAAGUACAAGGUUUCUCAAACCAAAUUAAGAGAGAACGAUAUAUAUUGUUUUUAAUUAAUUAAGAUAACACAACCUAAAUUAGAAAAAUAAAUAAAUGUGUUCACAAAUUGUUGCAACUAGAUCAAAUCGGAAACCUUUUUUUCGUCAAUAAACUAUUUCUCUUGGUGUGUUUUCCUUUACUUGUUUGGGACGGCGAGCUUGUGAGUGUUUGGUUGCAUGUUGCUUGCUCUGAAUUCUCUAUAUAGUUUGCCUUGCUAGGUCAUAUUUUGAAGCAAUAGUUUUCUAUAAUAUACAUACAACCAUUUAGAUAAAAAAAUAAACGUCAAUAUAUUAUUUUACCUAAUGAGCUACAUUACUUAGAUAGAAUCAUAUAUCUCAUUUUAUAUUAUACCAUUGUUCUUUAUAUUUUUUAAAGGUGUACUCUAUGCGCGCCGAUAAAAAAAGUGUCACACAUAAAAUAAUAAUAAAAAUAAAAGGAGAAAAUUGAAAAACUUGAAAAAUAAUAUAAAAGUUAUUUCUCACUCUAUACUGUCACACCUUCCAGCGGAUUACUCUCUCGCCGCGCAUAUUUUUUGGAAAUUUAUGGCACAACCAUCCUCGCUGGAAAUUUCCUCUAACGACUUCCCCACCACUUCCGACAACAUAAAAGUUGAAAUAAAACCCACAAUACAUUUGUAAAAGCCAAAACCAUCAAGAUGUACUUAAUCUUGCUCACCUUCUUAUCCAGUGUGUAAGACUGUAAAACAAAAGUAGCCACAAUCAACUUGGCUUUCCUCGAAACGGCACUCAAUGCAUGAUACAUGGACCUCAGCCGGGCUAGGAAAAGCUCCGCGGGCCAGAUGAAAGUAGUCGAAUUCGGCCCAAAGUUCCCAAAGACGAACCAAAGAUCAGAUAACACGGUGAACAAUCUCUUGUUAUCAUGCCACAAAUACUCGUACUUAAUCCAUAAUCAACAAAAACGUCAAUAUCAUGAAAACUCCCAUUAACUGAAUCACGAAUUAAACCAACUUCUCGAUGAACGCGAUUUUUAACUAACAUCCGGGGAAAGUCUCUAAUAAUGCAAUGACGAACAUGGCGCAUUAGGAGAUCAAUAGAGGAAACAUGACAAGAAAAUUAUGGGAUGUUUUGAACAACUCAAAAGAGGUUCUCAACAUUGUUUAGCCACAUAAGGAAUUUGGUCGUACAAUUUCUGCUAAAUUUAGUUCUUCAAUAAAUUAUGAGUAGAAAAAUGAAACUUAUUAAAAGUCUUGUGGAUUUGGAAUACCUUCGAAGUCCAGGUGCAGAAGACAACUUGUCUGGUAACUGACAAUGGUUUAUUGGGAGUCCUACCAAUAACAGACCAAUGGAAAAUUUAAAUGUCUAGUCAGGGAAUGAAAAACAACCGUUGCUAAGAAAGAUUGCGAUAGUGAAGAACUCAAAUCUAUAAACUUAAAUGGUAUACGUAACAUAGUGGAACAAGUAUGAAGCAAAUGAAGAAAAUUAGGAUUUUAAUGGGAGGAAUGAGGAAAGAAUAGUGUUUGCUGUUAUAUCUCUGUUGUUACAUUCCCUUAUUUUUCAUCCACAUCACCGUGCUUCUACGCUAACAACAGCUCAACAAUGAGUUCGAUUGUUGAGGAUCUACUGAAUUUUGGGGUUCAGAUCGAGUGGACAAUGGUGAAUCAAGCAACAGCAUGUAAUUUUUUGUUGUUGCCAUUUAUCAACAUGUGAAGAGACAACCAUGCAAAAUUGACUUUGAUUUUUUGUGGGGUUUUUUUCCAGUUCUACUGUAGAAAGAUGUACUUAAAGAACACAACACAAAUCUACGAAUUGGGGUUGUUUAAUACAAAACUCAGAAUUCGAUACGGGGAAGGAUUUUCUAUUUCAUUUCUUCUUUUUUUGCUCAUUUGAUUCAUUAAGGAUGUUAUUCACUCCAUUUAUCAGUUUGCAAAACGUGUACCAUUCUUAAAAAUCGAGUACAUGUCAAAAACCUAAUACAACACAUUGUAACGUAAAGAUUUGAAAAACAUAAUUCCAACAAAGAUGGUCUAGUGGGCGAAUUUUGGUGUAACGAAAGAUUUCAAAAACAUAAUUCCAAUAAAGAUGGUCUAGUGGGCGAAUUUUGUUUUUGGAAUCCUAACUCUAGUGAGUGGAAAAAACUUGCUUGAAAAAUUCAGCUCGACAUAAAUGGUUUGGCCAAUGGAGUUUCUAUUUGAUCAUAAAAAAGUUUGCAUUUGCUCCUUUUAAGACAAGGGUAUUGAGUAGAAAUUUAAUUGAAAAGAUAUGGAUAUUAUAUUCUUGUUAGAGAUGGAUUUAUAUUUUCAUAUGAAAAAAAUAAAUUUUCGGGCGAAGAGAUCAAAAUAAACAUGAAACUCUUUAACUUUCUUAUUUAGAAAUAAAAUUCUAAAUUUGUAUGAAAUUUUCAGAGACAGAAUUAAACAUAGAUCAACUUAUGAUUGUAAGUGACUACUAAAGUACAAGGUUUCUCGANNNNNNNNNNNNNNNNNNNNNNNNNNNNNNNNNNNNNNNNNNNNNNNNNNNNNNNNNNNNNNNNNNNNNNNNNNNNNNNNNNNNNNNNNNNNNNNNNNNNNNNNNNNNNNNNNNNNNNNNNNNNNNNNNNNNNNNNNNNNNNNNNNNNNNNNNNNNNNNNNNNNNNNNNNNNNNNNNNNNNNNNNNNNNNNNNNNNNNNNNNNNNNNNNNNNNNNNNNNNNUAAUGUAGCCAAUACUCAAUUUUGACCAUGAAUGAAUUGUAUAAUACAUGAAUAGAUGAUUAAGGGGUUGGGGCAUGACAAGUGUAUUGAUACUUAGUAGAAUGUUUCUUGGUUAAUGAAUUGUAGUAAAAAUUAUGUGAAAUUGCAUGAAUUGGAUAAUCAUAUACAACCAACUGGUCGUACACAUUGUAAUGAAAAAAAUCAAAUAAUUAUAAAAAUACUUAUGAUGAAAGUAAACCAAUCACUAUACCUUAUAAAUUUGAAGUCAAGUUGUAAAUCAAUGAUUAAUUUUAUAUUUCCGAAACCUUCCAUUCCAUCUCCUAUAUGUUGGAUUUAAAAUAAUCAAAUUUGUUCAAGGAACAAACAUUUUGUUCAAGGAACAAACAUCAAAUCUAAAAAUGUGAGUUACAUAUCAUACCUAAAUAACUUUUCACUAGAAGAAGAGAUAAAACUUAUAUCGCAUACCUAAUUCCGCAAUGUUAUUGUCAUUUGUUUCUUCUUCCAUUCAAAAGAGAAAAUAAAUUAUAUCUGCCCAACUACGAAGCACACCAGCGACAAAGUUUGAAUGGAGAAAGCUUUCUUUGAUGAAAAUGAAUUAGGAGAUGGGUAUUUAUAUAAAAUUAAAUUCUAUUUUAAGAUUUCAAUCCUUGUUAAAUAUUGUAAUAAGCACUAAAUUCGUGAAUAAAUUUUAUAUUUGAAAUUUUCUAAACAUUGAUGUGAGCGUUUCAAAUUUUUUAUUUAUNNNNNNNNNNNNNNNNNNNNNNNNNNNNNNNNNNNNNNNNNNNNNNNNNNNNNNNNNNNNNNNNNNNNNNNNNNNNNNNNNNNNNNNNAAUUAAGAUAGCACAACCUAAAUUAUAAAAAUAAUAAAUGUGUUCACAAAUUGUUGCAACUAGAUCAAAUUGGAAACCUUUUAAUCGUCAAUACACUAUUUCUCUUGGUGUGUUUUCCUUUACUUGUUUGGGACGGCAAGCUUGUGAGUGUUUGUUUGCAUGUUGCUUGCUCUAAAUUCUCUAUAUAGUUUGCCUUCCUAGGUCAUAUUUUGAAGCAGUAGUUUUCUUUAAUAUACAUACAACCAUUUAGAUAAAAAAAAUAAACGUCAAUAUAUUAUUUUACCGAAUGAGCUAAAUUACUUAGAUAGAAUCAUAUAUCUCAUUUUAUAUCAUACCAUUGUUCUUUAUAUUUUUUAAAGGUGUACUACCCUAUGCACGAUAAAAAAAUAAUAAAAAUAAAAGGAGAAAAUUUUAAAACUUUUAAAAUAAUAUAAAAGUUAUUUCUCACUCUAUACUGUCACCCUUUCCAGCGGAUCACUCUCUCGCCGCGCAUAUUUUUUUGGAAAUUUAUGGCACAACCAUCCUCACUGGAAAUUUCCUCCAACGACUUCCCCACCACUUCCGACAACAUAAAAGUUGAAAUAAAACCCACAAUACAUAUGUAAAAGCCAAAACCAUCAAGAUGUACUUAAUCCUGCUCACCUUCUUAUCCAAUGUGUAAGACUGCAAAACAAAAGCAGCCACAAUCAACCGACAUUCUUAUCCAAUGUAUAAGACUGCAAAACAAAAGCGGCCACAAUCAACCCGACUUUCCUCGCAACGGCAGUCAAUUCAUGACACGUGUACCUCAGCCGGGUCGGGAAACGCUCCGCAGGCCAUAUGAAAGUAGUCGAAUUGGGCCCAAAGUUCUCGAAAUAAGAACCCAAGUUCAUAUAACACAGUGAACAAUCCCUUGCUAUCAUGCCACAAAUACUCGUACCUAAUCCCCAUCAUCAGUCAAAACGCCAAUAUCAUGAAAUAUCCCAUUAACUGAAUCACGUAUUAAACCAACUUCUCGAUGAACGUGACUUUGAACUAAUAUCCGGGGAAAGUCUCUAAUAAUGCAACGAAGAACAUGGCGCAUGAGGAGAUCAACAGAGGAAACAUGACAAGAAAAUUAUGGGAUCUUUUGAACAACUCAAAAGAGGUUCUCAACAUUGUUUAACCACAUAAGAAGUUCGGUCAUAUAAUUUCUAAUGAAUUUAGUUAUUUAAUAAAUUAUUAGUAGAAAAAUUAAACUUGUUAAAAGACUUGUGGAUUUGGAAUACCUUCAAAGUCCAGGUGUAGAAGACAACUUGUCUGGUAACUGACAAUGGUUUAUUGGGAAUCCUACCAAUAAGAGACCAAUAGAAAAACAUAAAUGUCUAGCCAGGGAAAGAAAAACAAUCGUUGCUAAGUAAGAUUGAGAGAGUGAAGAACUCAAAUCUAUAUAAACUUAAAUGGUAUACGUAACAUAGUGGAACAAGUAUGAAGCAAAUAAAGAAAAUUAGGAUUUUGAUGGGAGGAAUGCAGGAAAGACUAGUGUUUGUUGUUAUAUCUCUAUUGUUACAUUCCCUUAUUUUUCAUCCACAUCACCGUGCUUCUACGGCAACAACAACUCAACAAUGAGUUCGAUUGUUGAGGGUUCCUCCGAAUUUUGGGUUUCAUUUUGAGUGGACAACGGUGAAUCAGGCAAUAACAUGAAGUUUUAUGUUGUUGGCAUUAUCAACAUGUGUAGAGACUACCUUGCAAAAUUGACUUUGAUUUUUUGUGGGGUCUUUUUUCCAGUUCUACUAUAGUAAGAUGUACUUAAUGAACACAACAUAACUCUAAGAAUCGGGGUUUUUAUUACAAAACUCAGAAUUCAGUAAGGGGAAGGCUUUUCUAUUUCGUUUCUUCUUUUUGUGCUCAUUUGAUUCAUUAAGGUUGUCGGUGACUCCAUUUAUCCAUUUGCAAAACGUGUAUCGUGCUUAAAAACCGAGUACAUGUCAAAAACCUAAUACAACACAUUGACAUGGUAAGAUUUCAAAAAAAUAAUCCCCACAAAGAUGUUCUAGUGGGCGAAUUUUACUUCUGGAAUCCUAACUCUGUUGACUGGAAAAUAUUUGCUGGAAAAAUUCAGCUCGACAUAAAUGGUUUGGACAAUGGAGAUUCUAUUUGAUCUUCAAAAAGUUUGAAUUUGCUCCUUUUAAGAUGAGGGUAUUGAUUGGAAAUUUUAAUUGAAAAGAUACGGAUAUUAGGUUCUUGUUAGAGAUGGAUUUAUAUUUUCAUAUGAAAAAAAUAAAUUUUCGGGCGAAGAGAUCAAAAUAAACGUGAAACUCUUAACUUUCUUAUUUAGAAAUAAAAUUCUAAAUUUAUAUGAAAUUUUCAGAGACAGAAUUAAACAUAGAUCAACUUAUGAUUAUAAGUGACUACUAAAGUACAAGGUUUCUCGACCCAAGUUGAGAGAGAACCAAUGGACCAUGCAUCUUUAAUUACCUUACAACAACUAUUAUAUAACUCUUAAAUGACACAAUCAAAAGGAUCACCUUAACACCUCUUCAUGCUACCAGGAGCUAAGCUGGAACUUGAAACAUCAUGGCUACUGUUGAGCGAGAAACCGAUAACGAACCAAAUGUCCUCUGUCUAAUAGUAGCAAAAAAAUGAAACUUUGUAUGAUGCCUGCGGAUCAUCAGUGAAAUUGCUUGAAACUUAGCUCACACCUACACACAUGCACAAUCAUUAUGCAUUUCCAAAUUAUUUACACUCAAGCUAACCAAAUCAACAAUAGUGACCACCUAUACUAUUUAAAACAUACCAUUCUUAUUAUUAUCAACAUUAAGUUUCGUAACCUUGCUAACUAAUCCCGUAAAAGCCUCAAUCCAGCAACUCGAAUUAAUGCAAAAAAUAGGCAUUGUUACCCAUAAUUAAAUCCAAAGUAAAAUAUUGAAAUUUUAAAACUUGUAUAAUCUAAUAGCAUCAGUAAGAACGGCUACUACAUUACAUACCAUCUCCAUAGCACAUUAUGCUGUCAUGACGCUCCAAUUAAGCCUAAAACACACAAAAUUUUAGUUCUUAGAUCAAGACUGAUAAGAUAUCAGCUUUAAUAGAUGUUUUGGAUCAUAUAAUUAUGAGAAAUGAGACUGAGGGCACGUCGAGUAUCCCAAUACAUAAUAGAUAGUGAUGUGAUUUUAAUGAAAAAUAAUAUAGCAAGUACUCAAUUUUGACCAUGGAUGAAUUGUAUAAUACAUGAAUAUAUGAUUAAGGGGUUGGGGCAAAAUAAAUUGUAGUAAAAAUUAUAGUAAAUUGCAUGAAUUGGAUAAUCAUAUAAAACCAACUGGUCGUACACAUUGUAAUGACUGAAAUCAAAUAAUUAUAAAAAUACUUAUGAUGAAAGUAAAACAAUAAUUAUACCUCAUAACUUUGAAGUCAAGUUGUAAAUUAAUGAAU
rnacentral:lncRNA from 1 species